rnacentral:tRNA from 1 species
GCCCUGGUAGCUCAGCUGGUAGAGCGACUGCCUUGUAAGCAGUAGGUCGGGGGUUCGAGACCCUCCCAGGGCU